UGAACGCUAGCGGCAGGCCUAACACAUGCAAGUCGAACGGUAACAUAAGAGCUUGCUCUUGAUGACGAGUGGCGCACGGGUGCGUAACGCGUAUACAAUCUGCCCUUAUCUGGAGGAUAGCCCGAAGAAAUUCGGAUUAAUACUCCAUAAUAUCUUAAAGUGGCAUCACUAUAAGAUUAAAGCUCCGGCGGAUAAGGAUGAGUAUGCGUCCUAUUAGCUUGUUGGUGAGGUAAUAGCUCACCAAGGCUACGAUAGGUAGGGGGCCUGAGAGGGUGACCCCCCACACUGGUACUGAGACACGGACCAGACUCCUACGGGAGGCAGCAGUGAGGAAUAUUGGACAAUGGGCGAAAGCCUGAUCCAGCCAUGCCGCGUGCAGGAUGACUGCCCUAUGGGUUGUAAACUGCUUUUAUAUGGGAAUAAACCUCCGGACGUGUCCGGAGCUGAAGGUACCAUACGAAUAAGGAUCGGCUAACUCC
rnacentral:rRNA from 1 species